rnacentral:rRNA from 1 species
AUGGGCGACACCGCCGCGCCCGCGGCCGCGCCGCCGAGGAAGUUCGGCAGGAUCUGCGUCUUCUGCGGCAGCAACUCCGGCAAUCGCGCGGUGUUCGGCGACACGGCGCUCGAGCUCGGCCAGGGGCUGGUGACGAGGGGGGUUGAUCUGGUCUAUGGCGGGGGCAGCAUCGGGUUGAUGGGCCUGAUCGCGCAGACGGUUCUGGAUGGCGGCUGCCGUGUCCUCGGGGUGAUUCCCAGAGCACUCAUGCCCCUUGAGAUCUCUGGUGCAAGUGUUGGAGAAGUAAAGAUAGUCUCUGACAUGCAUGAGAGGAAAGCUGAGAUGGCGCGACAAGCUGAUGCAUUCAUUGCUCUUCCGGGAGGGUAUGGAACAAUGGAGGAGUUGUUAGAGAUGAUCACAUGGUCGCAGCUCGGAAUCCAUGACAAACCAGUUGGCUUGCUAAACGUCGACGGGUACUAUGAUCCGUUACUUGCGCUGUUCGACAAGGGCGCGGCAGAAGGUUUUAUUAAGGCCGAUUGCAGGCAGAUAAUCGUGUCGGCGCCAACUGCCCACGAACUGCUGACGAAAAUGGAGCAAUACACCCGUUCACACCGGGAGGUGGCGUCGCGGACGAGCUGGGAGAUGACCGAGCUGGGCUACGGGAAAGCUGCACCAGAGCCGGAGGAGGAGGCGUCGUGCUGA